rnacentral:rRNA from 1 species
GACGUAGGGCGCGAGCGUUGUCCGGAUUUAUUGGGCGUAAAGAGCUCGUAGGCGGCUUGUCGCGUCGUCCGUGAAAACCUGCGGCUCAACUGCAGGCUGGCGGUCGAUACGGGCAGGCUGGAGUUCGGUAGGGGAGACUGGAAUUCCUGGUGUAGCGGUGAAAUGCGCAGAUAUCAGGAGGAACACCGGUGGCGAAGGCGGCUUCCUGGACCGACACUGACGCUGAGGCGCGAAAGCUAGGGGAGCAAACGGG